UGGGGAAUUUUGGACAAUGGGCGAAAGCCUGAUCCAGCAAUGCCGCGUGUGUGAAGAAGGCCUUCGGGUUGUAAAGCACUUUUGUCCGGAAAGAAAUCCUUGGCUCUAAUACAGUCGGGGGAUGACGGUACCGGAAGAAUAAGCACCGGCUAACUACGUGCCAGCAGCCGCGGUAAUACGUAGGGUGCAAGCGUUAAUCGGAAUUACUGGGCGUAAAGCGUGCGCAGGCGGUUUGCUAAGACCGAUGUGAAAUCCCCGGGCUCAACCUGGGAACUGCAUUGGUGACUGGCAGGCUAGAGUAUGGCAGAGGGGGGUAGAAUUCCACGUGUAGCAGUGAAAUGCGUAGAGAUGUGGAGGAAUACCGAUGGCGAAGGCAGCCCCCUGGGCCAAUACUGACGCUCAUGCACGAAAGCGUGGGGGAGCAAACAGGAUUAGAUACCCUGGUAGUCCACGCCCUAAAACGAUGUCAACUAGUUGUUGGGGGAUUCAUUUCCUUAGUAACGUAGCUAACGCGUGAAGUUGACCGCCUGGGGAGUACGGUCGCAAGAUUAAAAC
rnacentral:rRNA from 1 species